rnacentral:rRNA from 1 species
CCUACGGGGGGCAGCAGUAAGGAAUAUUGGUCAAUGGACGCAAGUCUGAACCAGCCAUGCCGCGUGGAGGAUGAAGGUCCUCUGGAUUGUAAACUUCUUUUAUUUGGGAAGAAACUCCCGAUUUCCAUCGGGCUUGACGGUACCAGAUGAAUAAGCACCGGCUAACUCCGUGCCAGCAGCCGCGGUAAUACGGAGGGUGCCGGCGUUAUUGGGUGUCACGGGGUUUAAGGUGUGCAUAGAUGUCAGUGUUGAAAUCUCCGGGCUUAACCCGGAAACUGCCAUUGAUACUAUUUGUCUUGAAUACUCUGGAGGUGAGCGGAAUAUGUCAUGUAGCGGUGAAAUGCUUAGAUAUGACAUAGAACACCCAUUGCGAAGGCAGCUCACUACGGAAAUAUUGACGCUGAGGCACGAAAGCGUGGGGAUCAAACAGGAUUAGAUACCCGUGUAGUC